rnacentral:lncRNA from 1 species
UUUUGGGAAAACAGGGCGACCCAAUUCACGUUCUUGAACUAAUCUUUGUGUUUCAGUGAAACGGCAAGAAUAACUCACUGAACCAUUUUCGACGGUGAUGGCAUGAACCAUGCCAUCACCGUCAAAAAGGUGAUGUCCGGCAACCGGUUCAAACAACGGGUUAGCACCAUUACGGACAUAAACACCGUUAAUACAAUCAGGGAUCGUCCCUUUAACGGGAAGAUUAUGCCGGACAGGUUGCUCCGGCACCGGAGCAAAGUUGCCGGAAAUUUGUA